rnacentral:rRNA from 1 species
GUGCUUGCAUGCAUGAUUUACAUUUGAGUGAUUGGCGAACUGGUGAGUAACACGUGGGAAACCUGCCCAGAAGCGGGGGAUAACACCUGGAAACAGAUGCUAAUACCGCAUAACAACUUGGACCGCAUGGUCCGAGCUUGAAAGAUGGCUUCGGCUAUCACUUAUGGAUGGUCCCGCGGCGUAUUAGCUAGAUGGUGGGGUAACGGCUCACCAUGGCAAUGAUACGUAGCCGACCUGAGAGGGUAAUCGGCCACAUUGGGACUGAGACACGGCCCAAACUCCUACGGGAGGCAGCAGUAGGGAAUCUUCCACAAUGGACGAAAGUCUGAUGGAGCAACGCCGCGUGAGUGAAGAAGGGUUUCGGCUCGUAAAACUCUGUUGUUAAAGAAGAACAUAUCUGAGAGUAACUGUUCAGGUAUUGACGGUAUUUAACCAGAAAGCCACGGCUAACUACGUGCCAGCAGCCGCGGUAAUACGUAGGUGGCAAGCGUUGUCCGGAUUUAUUGGGCGUAAAGCGAGCGCAGGCGGUUUUUUAGUCUGAUGUGAAAGCCUUCGGCUCAACCGAAGAAGUGCAUCGGAAACUGGGAAACUUGAGUGCAGAAGAGGACAGUGGAACUCCAUGUGUAGCGGUGAAAUGCGUAGAUAUAUGGAAGAACACCAGUGGCGAAGGCGGCUGUCUGGUCUGUAACUGACGCUGAGGCUCGAAAGUAUGGGUAGCAAACAGGAUUAGAUACCCUGGUAGUCCAUACCGUAAACGAUGAAUGCUAAGUGUUGGAGGGUUUCCGCCCUUCAGUGCUGCAGCUAACGCAUUAAGCAUUCCGCCUGGGGAGUACGGCCGCAAGGCUGAAACUCAAAGGAAUUGACGGGGGCCCGCACAAGCGGUGGAGCAUGUGGUUUAAUUCGAAGCUACGCGAAGAACCUUACCAGGUCUUGACAUACUAUGCAAAUCUAAGAGAUUAGACGUUCCCUUCGGGGACAUGGAUACAGGUGGUGCAUGGUUGUCGUCAGCUCGUGUCGUGAGAUGUUGGGUUAAGUCCCGCAACGAGCGCAACCCUUAUUAUCAGUUGCCAGCAUUAAGUUGGGCACUCUGGUGAGACUGCCGGUGACAAACCGGAGGAAGGUGGGGAUGACGUCAAAUCAUCAUGCCCCUUAUGACCUGGGCUACACACGUGCUACAAUGGAUGGUACAACGAGUUGCGAACUCGCGAGAGUAAGCUAAUCUCUUAAAGCCAUUCUCAGUUCGGAUUGUAGGCUGCAACUCGCCUACAUGAAGUCGGAAUCGCUAGUAAUCGCGGAUCAGCAUGCCGCGGUGAAUACGUUCCCGGGCCUUGUACACACCGCCCGUCACACCAUGAGAGUUUGUAACACCCAAAGUACGGUGGGGUAACCUUUUAGGAACCAGCCGCCUAUAGG